GUAACUUAGAAGAAAACAAUAUGGCUAUUCACAAAGUUGUAUUCCUUGUUCUCCUCCUUUUGUUUGGAACACUUGCACUAGAAAGCUGCAAUGUGGCAACUGCGGCAGAUGAUGAAAAGUCAUGUCCUAGGGAUUGCAUCAGUGAUGCAGCCUGAAUGGUUUGCCCAACUCACCAUGGACGACAUAAGUUAAUUGAAUCCUAUUGUGAUAACUGUUGCACUUUACCUGGAAAUUGCAAACUUUUCAAAGAGAAUGGUGACCUCAUUUGUACGGGAACUGAUUAUUAGCUGUCCAUGUGGACUAGCUAAGUUAAUUAAAUAUUUACUACUACUAUGUAAUAAGGCUUGAUCAGGUUAUAUGAUCCUCAGAGGAUCUCUCAUGUGUCAUGGAAUUUAAUAUUCCUUGACUAAGCUUUUACAAGAGCUAAAAAGUCAUUAAUCAUCUUAUAUAUUA